CCUGGAGUAUAGCCCGAGCCCGACUGGUAAGAAGCCUCACUGUGGCCACUUUUAUUAGCGCUCCUUGCCUCUGAUUGAAGGGCUGUGUACAUGUAAAUUGAGGUUGGAGCCAAUAGGGAAAGUGCUCUCAAUUCCAGCACUGGGGGCAAAUCCUGAUGUUGUCUUGGAGAUAGCCAUGAAGAACUGCUGAUUCAUUUCUCCCUCUCACCUAACCGUGUGCUGCCAGAGAAGCAGCGGAAUUGAAAGCACGACAUGAAAUUUGCACUGGACGAAACUCCAAUAACCAAAAGAAAAAAUAGGAACUGGUGGCAGUUCCCCAUUUUCAGUAUUUGCUGUUGGCCUCUGAGGAUCAAUCAAGUAUAUCUUCUGUACUUUUGUAAUUCUCAAUAUACAGAAUAAGAGCAAUGCUGAGGACUCUCCCCAGAUAAUAUCUCUGAAUCCAGAAAAUUUAUGGUCUCUUUUUCUUCUUUUUGAAAAUAUUGUCCUUUAACAAUUUCAUACACAAUGCAUGUUACAGACAGUCCUCUAAGGCAUUAACAUUGUUAUUACUUAUACUCAUGGCAUUCCUGUUUUAAUAAAGUCAAAACUUCAGAAAACAGAACUCCUGACACAACUCAAUAAAGGUGAUUAAUUUACAAACUU